UACCUAUUGCUCAGGGAUAGCUUCGAGAAAUCGAAAUUAAUACCUGAUUACAUCAGAGAAAGGCAUCUUUUUUUGAUCAAAGCUCCGGCGGCAAUAGAUGGGCAUGCGUGACAUUAGCUUGUUGGUGAGGUAACGGCUCACCAAGGCUACAAUGUCUAGUGGGUCUUAAAGGAUGAUCCCCCACACUGGUACUGAGACACGGACCAGACUCCUACGGGAGGCAGCAGUGAGGAAUAUUGGUCAAUGGGGGCAACCCUGAACCAGCCAUGCCGCGUGCAGGAUGACAGUUCUAGUAAUUGUAAACUGCUUUUUUACGGAAAGAAAUGGACAUACGUGUAUGUUUUUGACGGUACCGUAAGAAUAAGGAUCGGCUAACUCCGUGCCAGCAGCCGCGGUAAUACGGAGGAUCCAAGCGUUAUCCGGAUUUAUUAGGAUUGAAGGGUGUGUAGGCGGAAAAAUAAGUCAGUGGUGAAAUUUCUCAGCUCAACUGAGAAUCUGCCAUUGAUACUGUUUAUCUAGAGUGCGGUUGAGGUAGGCGGAAUGUGUAGUGUAGCGGUGAAAUGCAUAGAUAUUACACAGAACACCAAUUGCGAAGGCAGCUUACUAAGCCGUAACUGACGCUGAGACACGAAAGCGUGGGUAUCAAACAGGAUUAGAUACCCUGGUAGUCCACGCCGUAAACGAUGAUCACUCGAUGUAUGUUAGUAAUGAUAUGCGUCUGAGCGAAAGCAUUAAGUGAUCCACCUGGGGAGUACGAUCGCAAGAUUGAAACUCAAAGGAAUUGACGGGGGCCCGCACAAGCGGAGGAACAUGUGGUUUAAUUCGAUGAUACGCGAGGAACCUUACCAGGACUUGAAUGGGGAUUGACCGCCGGAGAAAUUUGGCUUCUAGCAAUAGCAAUCUUCAAGGUGCUGCAUGGCUGUCGUCAGCUCGUGCCGUGAGGUGUCGGGUUAAGUCCCAUAACGAGCGCAACCCUCAUCAUUUGUUGCCAGCGGGUAAUGCCGGGGACUCUAAUGAGACUGCCACCGUAAGGUGUGAGGAAGGUGGGGAUGACGUCAAGUCAGCACGGCCCUUACGUCCUGGGCGACACACGUGUUACAAUGGCCGGUACAAAGGGCAGCUACAUAGCGAUAUGAUGCUAAUCUCGAAAGCCGGUCUCAGUUCGGAUUGAAGUCUGCAACCCGACUUCAUGAAGCUGGAUUCGCUAGUAAUCGCGCAUCAGCCAUGGCGCGGUGAAUACGUUCCCGGGCCUUGUACACACCGCCCGUCAAGCCAUGGGAGCUGGGAGUACCUGAAGUACGUGACCGUUUAGGAGCGUCCUAGGGUAAAACCGGUGACUGGGGCUAAGUCGUAACAAGGUA
rnacentral:rRNA from 1 species